rnacentral:rRNA from 1 species
UGUAGUAUUGGUUUGAUAUUCAAUGACUGGCCGUCGUAGUCUUAACCAUAAUCGAUGCCGACCAGCGAUUAGGAGACGUUGAAUACAAAACACCACCGUCGGGUCGGCCGUCCUUGGCCGUCGUGCGCGGCGACGCGCGCGGCGGCGAGGGCGGUGUCUGCCCGACGGCCCGGUGAAUGACUCCCUAGCAGCUUGUGAGA